rnacentral:rRNA from 1 species
UACGGAGUGUGCAAGCGUUACUCGGAAUUACUGGGCGUAAAGGGCUCGUAGGCGGCCAACUAAGUCAGACGUGAAAUCCCUCGGCUUAACCGGGGAACUGCAUCUGAUACUGGAUGGCUUGAGAUUGGGAGAGGGAUGCGGAAUUCCAGGUGUAGCGGUGAAAUGCGUAGAUAUCUGGAGGAACACCGGUGGCGAAGGCGGCAUCCUGGACCAACACUGACGCUGAGGAGCGAAAGCCAGGGGAGCAAAGCGGG